GAACCCACCCAAGGCUGCCUCCCGGACCCGCCAGGCGGAGAAGGGACCUCUGCUGCAUGUGUUUCAAGGAUCACAGGAUCUUCUCCUUCCUAGAGGCUAGCGAAGAUUAGAAGGCGAAAAAAAUGCACUUGUGAUUAAAUGUUCUGUGAGCUCAUGCUGUCCACCCAUACUGACAGAGCACAGACAAAUGUGUGGAGGCAGACAAUGUCAGAGUGCAGGAAAGCACAAAAUGACCGGGAGCAGAGGUGGCGGG